GUAGGGAAUUUUCCGCAAUGGGCGCAAGCCUGACGGAGCAACGCCGCGUGAGGGAUGAAGGUUUUCGGAUCGUAAACCUCUGUCUAGAGGGACGAUAAUGACGGUACCUCUGGAGGAAGCCACGGCUAACUACGUGCCAGCAGCCGCGGUAAUACGUAGGUGGCAAGCGUUGUCCGGAAUUACUGGGCGUAAAGGGCGUGUAGGCGGCCUGUCAAGUCAGACGUGAAAUCCCUGGGCUUAACCCAGGACCUGCGUUUGAAACUGACGGGCUUGAGGAUCGGAGAGGGCAGUGGAAUUCCCAGUGUAGCGGUGAAAUGCGUAGAUAUUGGGAGGAACACCAGUGGCGAAGGCGACUGCCUGGACGACACCUGACGCUGAGGCGCGAAAGCUAGGGGAGCAAACGGGAUUAGAUACCCCAGUAGUCC
rnacentral:rRNA from 1 species